UUGACCCUGCAAGCUUGUCUCGUCAAAGCAUUCAGUGGGCUAAAUCUUCCUCUUUAUGAUGCUUCUCUCUCGGUCAAGUUCAGCCCCUUAUCUGCAUUCUUAGGCUCCCCAUGUUUCUCUAUUUGAUGGCUUGUUCAUCAAAAUUCCUCUCUUCUUCUUCUUCUUCUUAAGUCGUAAGCUACCUCUACAGGAUCCUCCCCACGAAAAAAUGAGUUCAAAAUCAUCAAGUACUUUGGGAGUUCCGUACUAGCACUAUGGUAUGCAGAGUUUUGAGUAACAAUCAGGAAGAGAAGAUAACUACAAGUGAAAAUUUUAUUGUUGUCCAAUAAACAAGACACCUCAAGAUUGCAUGCAUUUUUGUUGGGCUGAUGAUACAGAUUAGUUUGCUCCAGAUAGUGAUCAAGUGAGAAGAGAUGCUGUUGUGGGGAAAAAAAAAUAUGCUAGAUACUUGAUCGUCAUGACAUGAAGACGAACGUCAUUAUAGCCUUACUGAAUAUGUUGGUGGGCUUUUCAUUUCAGAUAUAUGAAUAAAAUGACUAAUGACAUUUUAUGUAUUGGAGAAUUUUGGAUUGCUUGUA